rnacentral:rRNA from 1 species
GAUGAACGCCGGCGGCGUGCCUAAUACAUGCAAGUCGAGCGAACAGACGAGGAGCUUGCUCCUCUGACGUUAGCGGCGGACAGGUGAGUAACACGCGGAUAACCUACCUAUAAGACUGGGAUAACUUCGGGAAACCGGAGCUAAUACCGGAUAAUAUAUUGAACCGCAUGGUUCAAUAGUGAAAGACGGUUUUGCUGUCACUUAUAGAUGGAUCCGCGCCGCAUUAGCUAGUCGGUAAGGUAACGGCUUACCAAGGCAACGAUGCGUAGCCGACCUGAGAGGGUGAUCGGCCACACUGGAACUGAGACACGGUCCAGACUCCUACGGGAGGCAGCAGUAGGGAAUCUUCCGCAAUGGGCGAAAGCCUGACGGAGCAACGCCGCGUGAGUGAUGAAGGUCUUCGGAUCGUAAAACUCUGUUAUUAGGGAAGAACAAAUGUGUAAGUAACUAUGCACGUCUUGACGGUACCUAAUCAGAAAGCCACGGCUAACUACGUG